GACGAACGCUGGCGGCGUGCUUAACACAUGCAAGUCGAACGGAAAGGCCCCUUUGGGGGUCCUCGAGUGGCGAACGGGUGAGUAACACGUGAGUAACCUGCCCUUGACUUCGGGAUAACUUCAGGAAACUGGGGCUAAUACCGGAUAGGAAUCCUUGCUGCAUGGUGGGGGUUGGAAAGCUUCGGCGGUUUUGGAUGGGCUCGCGGCUUAUCAGCUUGUUUGUGGGGUAGUGGCUUACAAAGGCUUUGACGGGUAGCCGGGCUGAGAGGGCGACCGGCCACAUUGGGACUGGGAUACGGCCCAGACUCCUACGGGAGGCAGGAGUGGGGAAGAGUGCACAAUGGGCGGAAGCCUGAUGCAGCAACGCCGCGUGCGGGAUGACGGCCUUCGGGUUGGAAACCGCUUUCAGCAGGGGCGAAGCUUGUGGUGACGGUACCUGCAGAAGAAGCACCGGCUAACUACGUG
rnacentral:rRNA from 1 species